rnacentral:tRNA from 1 species
CGGGGUGUGGCCUAGCCCGGCUUAAGGCGCUCGCCUGGGGGGCGAGAGAUCGAAGGUUCGAAUCCUUUCACCCCGACCA